rnacentral:tRNA from 1 species
GGAGGGGUGUCGGAGCGGUUACGAGCUCGCCUGCAGAGCGAGUCCACAUGGGUUCGAAUCCCAUCCCCUCCU